CAGCAGCCGCGGUAAUACGUAGGGUGCGAGCGUUAAUCGGAAUUACUGGGCGUAAAGCGAGCGCAGACGGUUAUUUAAGCAGGAUGUGAAAUCCCCGGGCUUAACCUGGGAACUGCGUUCUGAACUGGAUAGCUAGAGUGUGUCAGAGGGGGGUAGAAUUCCACGUGUAGCAGUGAAAUGCGUAGAGAUGUGGAGGAAUACCGAUGGCGAAGGCAGCCCCCUGGCCAAUACUGACGCUCAUGCACGAAAGCGUGGGGAGCAAACAGGAUUAGAUACCCGGGUAGUCCCUGUCUCUUAUACA
rnacentral:rRNA from 1 species